rnacentral:antisense_RNA from 1 species
CUUCAGCGAUCCCAGCCACAGCGGGGUUUCGCGGUCCUGGCCGUAGGUGGCCAGCAGCGCCUGGGCCUC